UACGGAGGGUGCAAACGUUGCUCGGAAUCAUUGGGCGUAAAGCGCACGUAGGCGGCUCGUUAAGUCGGAUGUGAAAUCCCUCGGCUCAACCGAGGAAGUGCAUUCGAAACUGGCGAGCUUGAAUAUGGAAGAGGGUCGCGGAAUUCCCGGUGUAGAGGUGAAAUUCGUAGAUAUCGGGAGGAACACCAGUGGCGAAGGCGGCGACCUGGGCCAAUAUUGACGCUGAGGUGCGAAAGCGUGGGGAGCAAACAGG
rnacentral:rRNA from 1 species